CCGCGAGGUUGGGUUGAUCCUUCCGCGUAACACUUGCCGAAGCCUUAGCAGCCCGAAAGGGUGCAGCCCCAACGACUAUAAUCAUGAGAGGGCUGCUUAAAUGCUAGUCUGCGCAGUGCAGGCGACACUAUCAAAUUGCGGGAACACCCUAAAGACCUCAACACCAAGCGCCUGUGGGAAACCACAGCGUGGCCGAGCUAAUAGCCCUGGGUAUGGUAACAGCUUGAGGUAUGACGCUCUCUCGGGAGUCGAAAUGGGCAAUCCGCAGCCAAGUCCUACAGCACUUAGGUGCCAUGGAUGCUGUUCACAGGCCAAAUGGUAGUGGGUGACCCCCCAAGAUGGGCGUUGCUUAAGAUAUGGUCGGGCCCCUCCAGAAAUGCUGGGGAUAAGUUUACGCCAGCAGGCACUGCUCAGGGAGUAUGUUUCCACACCCCCUAAGCUUGCUUGUCUGAUGAACCAAACCGUUCCGUAGGUGAACCUGCGGAAGGAUCAUUA
rnacentral:rRNA from 1 species